rnacentral:lncRNA from 1 species
GCGGUUGGAGAUAGCCAUCAUUUAGAAAAUGACAGUCGGUUUCAGCUAGAUGAAAGAUUCCAUGAAGAAUUUUCGGCAAAGCAGAAGAAAAGAAGAAAGUCACAACCAGAGCCCGGCAAUACAAAGAAAAGAACUUCAAGUUUUGAGAACCAGCUCAUAGUUCGAUAUGACCCCACAAUCCCUGAACACAAGAAGUAUGAGCUCAAAUCUGGCCAAGAUCGGAAACCCACAGCAACUAAAAAGUCUGAGAGGAAAAAGAAGAAAAAGAAAAAUUGAACAGAGUGGAGGCCGCUCCACAACCAGUUUCCGCUCAAACUUUUGUAAAAAUAUCAGAUGAUUUGAAAGGUUACUUUCAGAACAAGGAGAAGAAAAAUGAAGGUUUUAGUAUUUUGAAAAUGAUAGAAGAGGAUAAGUCUUCUGAAAGUGAUGAAUCUGAAAAGGAUGAAUCACUAAAAGCACAAACAUCAGAAGAGCAACAUUCAUCUGUUGAGAAAAAAAUGGAAUCUAAAGCAGAAGUCCUACAUAUUGAACGGAUGGACUUGGACAAAGGAACCAAGAAAUCUUACAACAAAACUGAGCCACUAUUAUCAGCCUCAGUUGAUAGGCGAGAGUAUUUCAAUCCAAAGAAAGGAAAAAUUUUCUGUCCUGAAAACGGUGUAUGGUAUGAUACCCUGUUUCCAAGAAAAGGUGACGUUCGUUUGGAAGAAGGUAUACGGUGGUUAAAUACAAAACCAAAACUACCUGAAAACUGGUCCAAGUUUAGAAGGGAGCUAUAUUUUGAUGCUCUGCAAAAACAGCAGAAGAGUUUCAAGAAGUUGAAUUCCAUGAAAAAUCCGCACCAACAACGUAGAGAGAAUCAAUUGAACAAGGCUCGCAAGUACAUCCAUCGAAGCAUUAAGAUGAAGAAAGGAAAGUAAUCAUUCCUCUUCAUUAAUUAAUUUCAAUGAAUAUUUGUGUCUCUUGGUUUUUUUUGUUUGUAAGUAUGUACAUUAUAUAAGUAUGUAUGUAAAAAAACAAGUAUUUUUUUUCUCACUCCCAUACUUUUGAUAUGACAUUAUUCAAAAUGUCAAAUAAAGUAACAAUGAUAAAAUAAAAAUUGAACAAAGUAAUGAAUAGCUGUUAAAAAUUUGAUGAGAAUAAUGAAGUUAAAUGGUAAAACCUUUAAAGACUGCUAACCGAAAAUGAAAAUAUAAUGAAAGAAAAAAUAUACUGAGAAGUAUCAAAAUGGCGUUUUUUUGAGUAAAUAUGUCUCCCCUCCAGAGCUUUUUCCCCCUUCUUCAAAACCUUAAUCUGUAAUCUCUACUCCUGUAUAUACAGGGUGAUCCAAAAGUCCCUUCCACCCCCUCUAACUUUUUACUUAAUUGAAGUAAAGAUUUGAAACUGGGGGAUAUUCCUAGGUCAAAGGGAGCUACUUUUUGGCCCCCCUAAAAUUUUCAAGCGGGCCCCCCUAAGGGGGGCAACGGCCCCCAACUUUUAAUUUUCAAAUGGGAAGACCCCCUUCGUGAUAGCUCGUUCGAAAGAGCAUAAAAAAAGAAAACUUUUUCGCGCAAACCCGAAGUCAAUAUCUCAAACCGUUUCAAAAUGGCGGCCGGUUAAAGUUCAAAAUGGCCGAAAAUUCACACCGGUUAUUUGUCGAUGGAUUUGCGCGAAAAUCGGUAUGUAUGGGUAUUUUGACACGAGAAAAACGAAUUUGACGUUAGAUUUUCAAAAAAACCAAAAUUUCCGAAAUGGCCGCCGGUUAAAGUUUAAAAUGGCAGAAAAUUGUCACCUCGGUUUUUUCCUGAUGGAUUUGCCUAAAACUUGGAAUUUGAGAGUAUUUUGGCAUAAGAUAAACAAAUUUGAACUUAGAUUUCUAAAAAAAUCAAUUUUUGGUCAUUUUGAACUUUAACCGGCGGCCAUUUUGGAAAUUUUCGGCUUUUUUGAAAAUCUAACGUCAAAUUCGUUUUUCUCGUGUCAAAAUACCCCUACAUACCGAUUUCCGCGCAAAUCCAUCGACAAUUAACCGGUGUGAAUUUUCGGCCAUUUUGAACUUUAACCGGCCGCCAUUUUGAAACGGUUUGAGAUAUUGACUUCGGGUUUGCGCGAAAAGUUUUCUU